AGUGAACGCUGGCGGUAGGCCUAACACAUGCAAGUCGAACGGCAGCACAGUAAGAGCUUGCUCUUACGGGUGGCGAGUGGCGGACGGGUGAGGAAUACAUCGGAAUCUACUUUUUCGUGGGGGAUAACGUAGGGAAACUUACGCUAAUACCGCAUACGACCUACGGGUGAAAGCAGGGGAUCUUCGGACCUUGCGCGAUUGAAUGAGCCGAUGUCGGAUUAGCUAGUUGGCGGGGUAAAGGCCCACCAAGGCGACGAUCCGUAGCUGGUCUGAGAGGAUGAUCAGACACACUGGAACUGAGGCACGGUCCAGACUCCUAAGGGAGGGAGAAGUGUGGAAUAUUGGACAAUGGGCGCAAGCCUGAUCCAGCCAUACCGCGUGGGUGAAGAAGGCCUUCGGGUUGUAAAGCCCUUUUGUUGGGAAAGAAAAGCAGCAGGUUAAUACCCCGCUGUUCUGACGGUACCCAAAGAAUAAGCACCGGCUAACUUCGUG
rnacentral:rRNA from 1 species